rnacentral:rRNA from 1 species
UACGUAGGGUGCAAGCGUUGUCCGGAAUUAUUGGGCGUAAAGAGCUCGUAGGCGGCGUGUCGCGUCGGGAGUGAAAGACCGGGGCUUAACCCCGGUUCUGCUUCCGGUACGGGCAUGCUGGAGUGUGGCAGGGGAGACUGGAAUUCCUGGUGUAGCGGUGGAAUGCGCAGAUAUCAGGAGGAACACCGGUGGCGAAGGCGGGUCUCUGGGCCAUUACUGACGCUGAGGAGCGAAAGCGUGGGGAGCGAACAGG